GAACCAUGGUUGGGGCAUUUUCUCAACAACAUCUGAAAACGCUCUCAUACUUCAUAAAAUGCUUCAUCUGCACCUUGUUUGAAAGUUGAUAUCUCGAACUUUGCAUGC
rfam:Lupinus angustifolius cultivar Tanjil chromosome LG10, whole genome shotgun sequence.